rnacentral:rRNA from 1 species
AUUGAACGCUGGCGGCAGGCUUAACACAUGCAAGUCGAACGAGUGGCGGACGGGUGAGUAAUGUCUGGGAAACUGGCUUAUGGAGGGGGAUAACGACUGGAAACUGUCGCUAAUACCGCGUACCAUCGGCUGUGCCCAGGUGGGAUUAGGUAGUUGGUGGGGUAAUGGCUCACCAAGGCGACGAUCUCUAGCUGGUCUGAGAGGAUGACCAGCCAAGCCGGAACUGAGACACGGCCCAGACUCCUACGGGAGGCAGCAGUGGGGAAUAUUGCACAAUGGGGGCAACCCUGACGCAGCCAUGCCGCGUGAAUGAAGAAGGCCUUCGGGUUGUAAAGUUCUUUCAGUGGGGAGGCGUUAAUCGCAGAAGAAGCACCGGCUAACUCCGUGCCAGCCGCCGCGGUAAUUC